GGCUCGGUAGCUUAGUUGGUAAAGCGCUCGUCUAGCAUACAAGAGUUCUGGGUUCAGGUCCCAGCCGAGCAC
rnacentral:tRNA from 1 species